CUCGGGAUUUAUCAUAACAUACAUUGAAUUAAAACAAAAGUGAAUGUCCGGUAAAAAUAUUGAAUAGAAGCAUGUUUUCUGCUUCUUUUGAAAAGCUUAGGGAAAGUUAAGAUGAUAACAAGACUCAGCCAGUGUUUUUAGGAAGCGUCCAUCGAACACACGGGCGUGUGUGCGUACCUUAACGAGAACAUUGCUAAUAAAAGCAGGGUUUCCUCAAAAACUAAAUCAGUUGGAAAGAUGAAAGGCCAAAUCAAUUAUGACAUGAUAAAGCAUCAGAAACCAAAAGUUCUAAUAAAAGACAACUAAACCCAGAUUUAUGAAAAUUGGAAUAAAACAAAAACAUUCAAGUAUAAUUAGAGUUUAUAUACUAUUUUUUUUUUCAUUUUACGGUUAAUUAAUGAAUACACACACAGGCACUGGUCUCAGAAUUUAUUAUAUAAAGGUAUAAGACGAGUGCCUGUGAAUACACAUAUCCGUUUUUUUUACAGUUUAUAUGAGAAAAUACAAAACUGGCAGAAGGUUUGAAACGGAACCCAAAUUAAACCUACAAUUGCUUCUCAGUCAAUGAACCAAAUAAAACAGCUAGCAAAUAACCCUAACCC
rnacentral:lncRNA from 1 species